rnacentral:rRNA from 1 species
GGGUUGUGAGGUUAAGUGACUAAGCGUACACGGUGGAUGCCUAGGCAGUCAGAGGCGAUGAAGGGCGUGCUAAUCUGCGAAAAGCGUCGGUAAGGUGAUAUGAACCGUUAUAACCGGCGAUACCCGAAUGGGGAAACCCAGUGUGUUUCGACACACUAUCAUGUCAUGAAUACAUAGUGGCAUGAGGCGAACCGGGGGAACUGAAACAUCUAAGUACCCCGAGGAAAAGAAAUCAACCGAGAUUCCCCCAGUAGCGGCGAGCGAACGGGGAGGAGCCCAGAACCUGAAUCGGCUUGUGUGUUAGUGGAAGCGUCUGGAAAGUCGCGCAGUAAAGGGUGAUAGCCCCGUACACUAAAAUGCACAGGUCGUGAGUUCGAUGAGUAGGGCGGGACACGUGACAUCCUGUCUGAAUAUGGGGGGACCAUCCUCCAAGGCUAAAUACUCCUGACUGACCGAUAGUGAACCAGUACCGUGAGGGAAAGGCGAAAAGAACCCCGGCGAGGGGAGUGAAAUAGAACCUGAAACCGUGUACGUACAAGCAGUGGGAGCACCUUCGUGGUGUGACUGCGUACCUUUUGUAUAAUGGGUCAGCGACUUAUAUUUUGUAGCAAGGUUAACCGUAUAGGGGAGCCGUAGGGAAACCGAGUCUUAACUGGGCGAAUAGUUGCAAGGUAUAGACCCGAAACCCGGUGAUCUAGCCAUGGGCAGGUUGAAGGUUGGGUAACACUAACUGGAGGACCGAACCGACUAAUGUUGAAAAAUUAGCGGAUGACUUGUGGCUGGGGGUGAAAGGCCAAUCAAACCGGGAGAUAGCUGGUUCUCCCCGAAAGCUAUUUAGGUAGCGCCUCGUGAACUCAUCUUCGGGGGUAGAGCACUGUUUCGGCUAGGGGGCCAUCCCGGCUUACCAAACCGAUGCAAACUCCGAAUACCGAAGAAUGUUAUCACGGGAGACACACGGCGGGUGCUAACGUCCGUCGUGAAGAGGGAAACAACCCAGACCGCCAGCUAAGGUCCCAAAGUCAUGGUUAAGUGGGAAACGAUGUGGGAAGGCAUAGACAGCCAGGAUGUUGGCUUAGAAGCAGCCAUCAUUUAAAGAAAGCGUAAUAGCUCACUGGUCGAGUCGGCCUGCGCGGAAGAUGUAACGGGGCUAAACCAUGCACCGAAGCUGCGGCAGCGACGCUUAGGCGUUGUUGGGUAGGGGAGCGUUCUGUAAGCCGUUGAAGGUGGCCUGUGAGGGUUGCUGGAGGUAUCAGAAGUGCGAAUGCUGACAUAAGUAACGAUAAAGCGGGUGAAAAGCCCGCUCGCCGGAAGACCAAGGGUUCCUGUCCAACGUUAAUCGGGGCAGGGUGAGUCGACCCCUAAGGCGAGGCUGAAAAGCGUAGUCGAUGGGAAACAGGUUAAUAUUCCUGUACUUGGUGUUACUGCGAAGGGGGGACGGAGAAGGCUAGGCUAGCCGGGCGACGGUUGUCCCGGUUUAAGCGUGUAGGGGGUGUGACCUGGUAAAUCCGGUUGCAUAUCAACCCUGAGGCGUGAUGACGAUGCACUACGGUGCAGAAGUAGUUGAUGCCCUGCUUCCAGGAAAAUCCUCUAAGCUCCAGGUAACAUUAAAUCGUACCCCAAACCGACACAGGUGGUCAGGUAGAGAAUACCAAGGCGCUUGAGAGAACUCGGGUGAAGGAACUAGGCAAAAUGGUGCCGUAACUUCGGGAGAAGGCACGCUGGCAUGUAGGUGAAGUCCCUUGCGGAUGGAGCUGAAGCCAGUCGAAGAUACCAGCUGGCUGCAACUGUUUAAUAAAAACACAGCACUGUGCAAACACGAAAGUGGACGUAUACGGUGUGACGCCUGCCCGGUGCUGGAAGGUUAAUUGAUGGGGUCAGCCGCAAGGCGAAGCUCUUGAUCGAAGCCCCAGUAAACGGCGGCCGUAACUAUAACGGUCCUAAGGUAGCGAAAUUCCUUGUCGGGUAAGUUCCGACCUGCACGAAUGGCGUAAUGAUGGCCAGGCUGUCUCCACCCGAGACUCAGUGAAAUUGAACUCGCUGUGAAGAUGCAGUGUACCCGCGGCAAGACGGAAAGACCCCGUGAACCUUUACUAUAGCUUGACACUGAACAUUGAGCCUUGAUGUGUAGGAUAGGUGGGAGGCUUUGAAGCGUGGACGCCAGUCUGCGUGGAGCCAUCCUUGAAAUACCACCCUUUAAUGUUUGAUGUUCUAACUCUGCCCCGUGAUCCGGGGUGAGGACAGUGUCUGGUGGGUAGUUUGACUGGGGCGGUCUCCUCCCAAAGAGUAACGGAGGAGCACGAAGGUUAGCUAAUCACGGUCGGACAUCGUGAGGUUAGUGCAAAGGCAUAAGCUAGCUUGACUGCGAGAGUGACGGCUCGAGCAGGUACGAAAGUAGGUCUUAGUGAUCCGGUGGUUCUGAAUGGAAGGGCCAUCGCUCAACGGAUAAAAGGUACUCCGGGGAUAACAGGCUGAUACCGCCCAAGAGUUCAUAUCGACGGCGGUGUUUGGCACCUCGAUGUCGGCUCAUCACAUCCUGGGGCUGAAGUAGGUCCCAAGGGUAUGGCUGUUCGCCAUUUAAAGUGGUACGCGAGCUGGGUUUAGAACGUCGUGAGACAGUUCGGUCCCUAUCUGCCGUGGGCGUUGGAAGAUUGAGAGGGGUUGCUCCUAGUACGAGAGGACCGGAGUGAACGCACCACUGGUGUUCGGGUUGUCAUGCCAAUGGCAUUGCCCGGUAGCUAAGUGCGGAAAAGAUAAGCGCUGAAAGCAUCUAAGCGCGAAACUUGCCUCAAGAUGAGUCUUCCCUGGACCUUUAAGG